UAAAGAAAAAUACCAAAACAAAAACAGUGACAGUAGCUCUGACUUAUUUUUUUUUUCACUGAAAUUUUCAUUACUACCGUAAAAAAGAUACAUCGGUGAAAUACUGAAGCCGGCGGAAAACGUAGAAAUCUCCGGAAACUAAGCCCAAACACGGGAAGCUAUAACCCAAACAGCGGGUCUUGUUCAAACUACCGAAACAUCACCUAAACUCUUACAUUCCCUCAAAAACCCAAAAGUUAAACAACAAUGGAUAACAGAACAAAGACUUAAUUGUCUAUGACUAGCCGGAGAUCUUACUACGAACUGAGCAAGCGAGCACGCAAAGUUUGUUAAGGAGAGCAGAACCUCAUCUGAACCUCCUGUUCAAGAUGACAACACCAAACCACAGAAACCUCAUCUGAACCUCCUGUCCCAGAUGACAACACCAGAGCACAAAGACCUCAUUUGAACCACUUGUUCACGAUGACAACAACCAAACCACAACUCUAUAGGCCAAACAUAAAACCAGGGGGAACCACACCUGUGAAAUUCCAUCUUCAAUCGCCCCUUCAUCUGGACACCUCCACACUUCGACCUCAUUUUAUUGCUUCACUAGUUGAAGCCACCGAGGAAGAACAACCAAAGGCAAACCAGGAACAACACUUAUUCAAAGGGCGAGAAUAUGAUACCUUUAAAACACGGCAGGUGAAGAGAUGAACUGAACUUGUCUUCAUCUCAAACCCCUAAAACCUUCAACUGCUCCUCACAACAACACCACCUCACUGCUUCACCGUUGCAGAAUCAAAGACCAACCAAGACCAACUCUAAAAUCCAAGACAGAUUAACCGGGUUCAACCCCUAACAAAGAAUUGCAACACUACCCAAAACCGAUUGUAGACACAACCGCCACAUCACAACAGAGACACCAAGGCUCAGACUUUUACCUCGCUAGGAGACGCAAAUGGAGGCCGGAGAAGGGACCAACCCUUAACCACCACCGACAAACACCACUCUACGCACCCAGAACUACAAGAGGUUCACAGAUCUGAGAAACCAAAAGCUCUAAUAGAGUAUAUUCAGCACACGGGCAAAUGGAGCAGCUCUAAAAGAAAGAGGAGAAGAGAUCUAAGAAGGGAAAGGGAGACAAUACAGCUUUCAGGAUUAGAUCCGGCGACCGCGAGGGAUGGCGGCCGCCGAGCUAGGGUUCUAACACGAGAGCGUUUCUACUUGCAGUAGCUCUGACUUAUUAUCUGGUAAAAAAUGUUUAAGGUUAAUUUGUGUAUUAGCUCAGUAAUUUUAAUACAGAAUUAGCAAACCGAAAUUUUAGAAAAUGGAGCCAACCCAAAUUACUUAUAAGUCAAGUUACAAUUAUAAAGAAAUGAGUUAAAAAGUGUAUGGAGAUGGUAGAAAUGGAUCCUCAAUUAACAAAGAGGUAAGGUAAUGGAGAAAAAUAUUUCAUUGCAUCAAAAUUCAAUAGAUACAAAGUCAGCUCUUUGGACUUCCGUAAUCGUAGCGAUUAAGUAGUCAACCAAAUAGGAAAAGAAAACACUAUUAGAUAUAUGUAGUAAAAUAACAUAAAACACACACAUAUCACUUAGAUUAUAUGUAUAUAUAUCUUACUUGUCUGAGAUAUUAUGGGCAAGAAUCCAUUAAGAUUAUAGAUCGACGGUUGUAAUUCUGUCGUUUUUUGGUUGCUCAUAUUGCGGUUAGAUAGAAAAACAAUAAAAAUAAUAUGCUAUAUAACAUAUUCAUUAAUUAAUAAUUUUAGCUAUAAUAGCCAUUUUGGAUGUAUUUAUUUAUAAAUAAAACACCAACUAGUAUGUUUACAUAUAUUAAUAAAUCUAUCUUUCUAAAAUAAAAUAUUUUAUGUCAAAUGAUAUAUGCCAAAUAAAUUCAACUUCUAUGUUUAUUUUUGAGGAAAAUAUUAAAUUGAAAUUUAGUUGUUAUAUUCUUAUACUUCAAAUAUAUAUGUGUGAAUGAUAUUAAUUAUCAAAUUAUUUACCAUAUAUUUGAAACGGUUUAAGUUACACAAUUAGGAAAUAUUCUUAAUGUCACUUGGUUUGCUUUGGUUUGUCUAAAAUCGUUUUUUUUUUUUUAAUUUGGUACAUAAGAUCUGGUUUGACUAAAUAUGCUUCAGUAUGUUUUUAAUAGGGUUUAUGUGUUAUUGGUUUAACAGGUGUUGAUGAAACUGAAAUGGCUCUU
rnacentral:lncRNA from 1 species